GUGCCAGCAGCCGCGGUAAUACGUAGGGGGCAAGCGUUGUCCGGAAUCAUUGGGCGUAAAGCGCGUGUAGGCGGGUCGGUAAGUCUGCUCUGAAAGUCCAAGGCUCAACCUUGGGAUGCGGGUGGAUACUGCCGACCUCGAGUCCGGAAGAGGCGAGUGGAAUUCCUGGUGUAGCGGUGAAAUGCGCAGAUAUCAGGAGGAACACCAAUGGCGAAGGCAGCUCGCUGGGACGUGACUGACGCUGAGACGCGAAAGCGUGGGGAGCAAACAGGAUUAGAUACCCUGGUAGUCC
rnacentral:rRNA from 1 species